CCAGAGAAUUUAGCAGAGAUGCUUUAGUGCCUUCGGGAACUCUGAGACAGGUGCUGCAUGGCUGUCGUCAGCUCGUGUUGUGAAAUGUUGGGUUAAGUCCCGCAAGAGCGCAACCCUUAUCCUUUGUUGCCAGCACGUAAUGGUGGGAACUCAAAGGAGACUGCCGGUGAUAAACCGGAGGAAGGUGGGGAUGACGUCAAGUCAUCAUGGCCCUUACGAGUAGGGCUACACACGUGCUACAAUGGCGCAUACAAAGAGAAGCGACCUCGCGAGAGCAAGCGGACCUCAUAAAGUGCGUCGUAGUCCGGAUUGGAGUCUGCAACUCGACUCCAUGAAGUCGGAAUCGCUAGUAAUCGUAAAUCAGAAUGUUACGGUGAAUACAUUCCCGGGCCUUGUACACACCGCCCGUCACACCAUGGGAGUGGGUUGCAAAAGAAGUAGAUAGCUUAACCUUCGGGAGGGCGUUUACCACUUUGUGAUUCAUGACUGGGGUGAAGUCGUAACAAGGUAAGCGUAGUGCU
rnacentral:rRNA from 1 species